GUGAAGAAUAUUGCGCAAUGGGGGCAACCCUGACGCAGCAACGCCGCGUGAAGGAUGAAGGUUUUCGGAUUGUAAACUUCUUUUAUCAAGGACGAAGGACGUGACGGUACUUGAUGAAUAAGCCACGGCUAACUACGUGCCAGCAGCCGCGGUAAUACGUAGGUGGCAAGCGUUAUCCGGAUUUACUGGGUGUAAAGGGCGAGUAGGCGGGCAGACAAGUCAGAUGUGAAAUCUGGGGGCUUAACCCCCAAACUGCAUUUGAAACUGUAGGUCUUGAGUGAUGGAGAGGCAGGCGGAAUUCCCGGUGUAGCGGUGGAAUGCGUAGAUAUCGGGAGGAACACCAGUGGCGAAGGCGGCCUGCUGGACAUUAACUGACGCUGAGGAGCGAAAGCGUGGGGAGCAAACAGGA
rnacentral:rRNA from 1 species